rnacentral:tRNA from 2 species
GCUCCUGUGGCUCAGUUGGUAGAGCAACUGAUUCGUAAUCAGUAGGUCGGGUGUUCGAAUCACCUCAGGAGCACCA